UACAGAGGGUGCGAGCGUUAAUCGGAAUUACUGGGCGUAAAGCGUGCGUAGACGGUUAUUUAAGUCGGGUGUGAAAAGCCCCGGGCUCAACCUGGGAAUUGCAUUCGAGACUGAAUAGCUAGGGUACGGUAGAGGGAAGUGGAAUUUCCGGUGUAGCGGUGAAAUGCGUAGAUAUCGGAAAGGAACAUCAGUGGCGAAAGCGACUUCCU
rnacentral:rRNA from 1 species